rnacentral:rRNA from 1 species
CCCUUAGAUGUUCUGGGCCGCACGCGCGCUACACUGAUGCAUUCAACGAGUUUCUUCCUGGUCCGAGAGGAAUGGGUAACCUUUUGAACGUGCAUCGUGAUAGGGAUAGACUAUUGCAAUUAUUGGUCUUCAACGAGGAAUUCCUAGUAGACGUAGUUCAUCAGACUGCAUCGAUUACGUCCCUGCCCUUUGUACACACCGCCCGUCGCUCCUACCGAUUGAAUGCUCAGGUGAGCCAUUCGGACUUUCAUCAUGCUGGUUUCCAGUUUUGAUGAAGGAAAGUCUUGCGAACCUUAUCAUUUAGAGGAAGGAGAAGUCGUAACA